AAAGAUCCUCACCAACAAGAUCAAUGCACUUGAUCUGGUGAAAAGAUAUUAUUAAACACUGAAAAGGAUUUUAAGACUGCAGAGUUCUGGAGCCUGACUGCAGGGGUGAAAUCCUAAAUCCACCAUGUGGUGGGUGUGUGACCUUGAAGAAGUUACUUAAACUCUCUCCGCCCUCAGUGUCUAUAUUGACAUCUCCUUGGCUUUUCUGAGCACCUUGUUCUCCUCAAGAUACCAUAGACUCCCUACCCCAUCUCAAACAUACUGGGGUGUUUUUUACCUAUCUACCACCGAUCUUGCCACAGGUCAUAUUCAUACGUAUCUCGAGAUUAUCAAGAAACCAAUUGUUUUCCAGGAAGACUUACUCACAAAAGGUCGUUGCUGUUUCUUUGCUUUCAAAGAUCAUUUAGUUUCAGCACUCUUGAUUUGGGAUGUGUGCAGGUGCAUGAAAAAGAGAGAAGGUUACU
rnacentral:lncRNA from 1 species